UGGCUCAGGACGAACGCUGGCGGCGUGCCUAAUACAUGCAAGUCGAACGAACUCUGGUAUUGAUUGGUGCUUGCAUCAUGAUUUACAUUUGAGUGAGUGGCGAACUGGUGAGUAACACGUGGGAAACCUGCCCAGAAGCGGGGGAUAACACCUGGAAACAGAUGCUAAUACCGCAUAACAACUUGGACCGCAUGGUCCGAGUUUGAAAGAUGGCUUCGGCUAUCACUUUUGGAUGGUCCCGCGGCGUAUUAGCUAGAUGGUGGGGUAACGGCUCACCAUGGCAAUGAUACGUAGCCGACCUGAGAGGGUAAUCGGCCACAUUGGGACUGAGACACGGCCCAAACUCCUACGGGAGGCAGCAGUAGGGAAUCUUCCACAAUGGACGAAAGUCUGAUGGAGCAACGCCGCGUGAGUGAAGAAGGGUUUCGGCUCGUAAAACUCUGUUGUUAAAGAAGAACAUAUCUGAGAGUAACUGUUCAGGUAUUGACGGUAUUUAACCAGAAAGCCACGGCUAACUACGUGCCAGCAGCCGCGGUAAUACGUAGGUGGCAAGCGUUGUCCGGAUUUAUUGGGCGUAAAGCGAGCGCAGGCGGUUUUUUAAGUCUGAUGUGAAAGCCUUCGGCUCAACCGAAGAAGUGCAUCGGAAACUGGGAAACUUGAGUGCAGAAGAGGACAGUGGAACUCCAUGUGUAGCGGUGAAAUGCGUAGAUAUAUGGAAGAACACCAGUGGCGAAGGCGGCUGUCUGGUCUGUAACUGACGCUGAGGCUCGAAAGUAUGGGUAGCAAACAGGAUUAGAUACCCUGGUAGUCCAUACCGUAAACGAUGAAUGCUAAGUGUUGGAGGGUUUCCGCCCUUCAGUGCUGCAGCUAACGCAUUAAGCAUUCCGCCUGGGGAGUACGGCCGCAAGGCUGAAACUCAAAGGAAUUGACGGGGGCCCGCACAAGCGGUGGAGCAUGUGGUUUAAUUCGAAGCUACGCGAAGAACCUUACCAGGUCUUGACAUACUAUGCAAAUCUAAGAGAUUAGACGUUCCCUUCGGGGACAUGGAUACAGGUGGUGCAUGGUUGUCGUCAGCUCGUGUCGUGAGAUGUUGGGUUAAGUCCCGCAACGAGCGCAACCCUUAUUAUCAGUUGCCAGCAUUAAGUUGGGCACUCUGGUGAGACUGCCGGUGACAAACCGGAGGAAGGUGGGGAUGACGUCAAAUCAUCAUGCCCCUUAUGACCUGGGCUACACACGUGCUACAAUGGAUGGUACAACGAGUUGCGAACUCGCGAGAGUAAGCUAAUCUCUUAAAGCCAUUCUCAGUUCGGAUUGUAGGCUGCAACUCGCCUACAUGAAGUCGGAAUCGCUAGUAAUCGCGGAUCAGCAUGCCGCGGUGAAUACGUUCCCGGGCCUUGUACACACCGCCCGUCACACCAUGAGAGUUUGUAACACCCAAAGUCGGUGGGGUAACCUUU
rnacentral:rRNA from 1 species